CGGGGACAGAGGCCGAGAGUGGGGGCAGCUUGGUUGAGAAGCAGCAGCAGGCGGAUGUGGCGUGGUCAUUCAACACACAUUGACUGACGAGCUGCGGGAACAAGAAUGCCUGCCCCGUGGCGUGGCCAGCACUGCCCAAUGAAGUUCCUACAGGGAUGUAAACAUUCUCUACCCAUGCAACCACCUACAUGUGGCUAGGAGCACCUGAAAUAGGAACUGAAUUUUAAAUUUAAAUUCCAUUUAAAUGGAAGCAGCCAGGUGGGCUACAUAAUAAUGGAUGACACCACCAGCAGCAGCAGGUCUACCCAUGGUGUUAUCGUUGCUGUCUUCCUGCCUUUCCUACCAAGUCCAAGCUGGGGGUGGAGGCCAGGAAGAGGGCAAGGGAGACUGGAGACUCUGAAAAGAGAGGGAAAGUGGGAAGAGUAAUUUAAAAAUAACCUUUUGUGGCCGGGUGCCGUGGCUCACACCUGUAAUCCCAGCACUUUGGGAGGCCCAGGUGUGUGGAUCACCUGAAGUCAGCAGUUCGAGACCAGCCUGACCGACAUGGCGAAACCCCGUCUACUAAAAAUACAAAAAUUAGCUGGCGUGGUGGUGCACACCUCUAAUCCCAGCUACCUGGGAGGCUGAGGCAGGAGAAUUGCUCCAACCCAGGAAACAGAGGUUGCAGUAAGCCAAGAUCGCACCACUGUACUCCAGCCUGAGUGACAGCGUGAGAUUCCAUCUCAAAAAAAAAAUAAAUAACCAAAAAUGAGUUGGGCGUGGUGGCGCGCACCUGUAAUCCCAGCUACUCGGGAGGCUGAGACAGGAGAAAUGCUUGAACCCAGGAGGCGGAGAUUGCAGUGAGCUGAGACUGUGUCACUGCACUCCAGCCUGAGCGACAGAGUAAGACUCUGUCUCAAAAAAAAAAAGAAAAGAAAAAAAAGAAGUUACCUUUUGUACAUUUUCCAAGCCGACUAUGGUGAACAUAUAACUGAAGAAAACAUUAAAAGUUGUAAAAAUAAAAAUAA